UACGUAGGGACCAAGCGUUGUUCGGAUUUACUGGGCGUAAAGGGCGCGUAGGCGGCUUAACAAGUCACUUGUGAAAUCUCCGGGCCUAACUCGGAACGGCCAAGUGAAACUGUCAAGCUAGAGUGCAGAAGGGGCAAUCGGAAUUCUUGGUGUAGCGGUGAAAUGCGUAGAUAUCAAGAGGAACACCUGAGGUGAAGACGGGUUGCUGGGCUGACACUGACGCUGAGGCGCGAAAGCCAGGGGAGCAAACGGG
rnacentral:rRNA from 1 species